UGGGAGUAAGUAGACAUGGUCCUCACACAGGAAGUAAGUUUCUGUCUCUCUGUGGCUCCAGAAGCCUGCAUGUGGAGGGUUGUGGCAGGGCUUGCAAGUCGCUUCCAGUCUUCAUGUGAGUGAGUCUGAUAUAAACCUCUGACCCUUGGCUUUUGAGUCUGUGUGGAGGGUUUGCAUCACUCAGAAUGAAACCUUUUUAGAUAUGUUGGGUUACAGAAAGCAUUUCCUGUACAGUCAGACCGAGAGCUGUGAAGUUGGGAUUAUUCAUCUAGAUUACUAAAACUCUGGGCAGAAUUAAUACUCACACCAGGCGUCUUCCCGCCGCCAGGCCUCCAUUGUGGUGUUAAACUGUUAGAAUUUUUUAAUUCAGCGCUGGGAAUUGAGUAUCAUUGCCUUCUUCUGUUAAGUAGAUUACUACUUAGUUUAUUCUCUUAAGUUUCAUCAAGUCCCUUUAACCAGCUAUGCUCAUACAGUUCUUAGAAGCCGGUUUACUGCGGGAAUCCUGCGAGCCAAGGGCGGGCCGCUCCCUGGGGGCAUGGUUGCUGCCAUCAGAGACAGAGAACAAACUCAGACUUCACGUGUAGUUUUACAGUGCUAACCAUGCUGGUCCUCACUCACAGAAGGGAGAAGACAGAAACGUGGAAUUCCCUCUUACUUUCUCUGUUCUUCUUGAUUUUGUUUUUGUUUUUGAGACCAGGCUGGCCUUGUAUUCACAGAGAUCUACCUGCUUCUGCCUCCCAAGUACUGGAAUCAUAGGCAUGCCAUACCCGUUGGUCUGUUCAUAUUCUCUCUCUCUCCCUCCCUCCUCCUCCUCCUCUUCCUCCUCUUCCUCCUCUUCCUCCUCCUCCUCAGUAAUUUUUUUUGAAAUUCACAGUGCAUUCCAAUUGCAUUCUCUCUUCUUCUUGAAAGACUCCAGUAUCAGAGCACUUUAAAAAAUACCAGGGACUUUCUUUAAAAAGUAGUUAAUGCCAUCUAAUAUGGGCUUCUCAGAACUUGAUAGUAAGCUUCCAAACAUGAAAUAGUUAUCAAUAGACCAUGAGUUCUCCAACUAUAUUAUUUGACCAUUAUGUCCUAAAAGAUAAUGAACUGACAGAGACCUUGGAAGCCUUGUUGCUUUCCUAAAUGGGAUGUUCAUGUUAUUCUUCACACUGCCUUUGCGGUGAGAUGGCCCUGUUUGUUUUAGAGGGAAGGAAGUUGUGGCUUUCUCAGUGAUACCCAACUUGCUAUUGGUCAUUCAGUAGCCCGUAGUCCUAAAAGGAAAGAUGAAACUUGAUUUUGCAUCUUGAGAACAAACCAGGAGAGAACUGAACUCUUACAGUGGAAGCAUGCACUUGAGAGCCAGGCAUGGCAGCUCUGCCUGCAGCCCCUGCACUUGGGAGGGCGAGCCAAGAGAAUCGCUGCUUAGUGAGUAGCAGGCCAGCCAGGACUACAUCCCAAGACCUUUAUCUCAGAAGG
rnacentral:lncRNA from 1 species